UCCAACAGUAGGAUCAUUUCUAUAGUUUACGUCCCUCUUUGACUCUUCAAACGAGCCACUGAAUCCAACUUGGUUGAUGAGUUGUAUACCUUUGUGCCCUAGAGUGAGAAUAUUGAUUUAGCUUGUCUAUAAUCCUUAGCGGUUUAGUCAUCUAUUUUAAUUUUUGCCUUUUUGUUUAUAUUCAAUAUUGUUUCCUUUGGAGAUUAUUAUUGUUUUAUUAAAGGAGCGAUGAUCUUGACCCUAUUUAUGAACUUUUUCGAAAGGGAUAAAUAUGGGUGGGUGCAAAUGGCAAUCUGACAAGU
rnacentral:snoRNA from 1 species